AUUGAACGCUGGCGGCAUGCCUUACACACGCAAGUCGAACGGCAGCACGGGAGCAAUCCUGGUGGCGAGUGGCGAACGGGUGAGUAAUAUAUCGGAACGUGCCCAGUCGUGGGGGAUAACGUAGCGAAAGCUACGCUAAUACCGCAUACGAUCUAUGGAUGAAAGCGGGGGAUCGCAAGACCUCGCGCGAUUGGAGCGGCCGAUAUCAGAUUAGGUAGUUGGUGAGGUAAAGGCUCACCAAGCCGACGAUCCGUAGCUGGUCUGAGAGGACGACCAGCCACACUGGGACUGAGACACGGCCCAGACUCCUACGGGAGGCAGCAGAGGGGAAUUUUGGACAAUGGGCGCAAGCCUGAUCCAGCAAUGCCGCGUGCAGGAUGAAGGCCUUCGGAUUGUAAACUGCUUUUGUACGGAACGAAACGGCGAGCUCUAAUACAGUUUGCUAAUGACGGUACCGUAAGAAUAAGCACCGGCUAACUACGUGCCAGCAGCCGCGGUAA
rnacentral:rRNA from 1 species